GAUGAAGAACGUAGCGAAAUGCGAUAAGUAAUGUGAAUUGCAGAAUUCAGUGAAUCAUCGAAUCUUUGAACGCACAUUGCGCCCCUUGGUAUUCCGAGGGGCAUGCCUGUUCGAGCGUCAUUAUAACCCUCAAGCUCAGCUUGGUGUUGGGGCCUGCUGCACUGGCAGCCCUUAAAAUCAGUGGCGGCGCCAUCUGGCUCUAAGCGUAGUAAUUCUUCUCGCUAUGGAGUCCUGGUGGAUGCUUGCCAUCAACCCCCAAUUUUUCUAUGGUUGACCUCGGAUCAGGUAGGGAUACCCGCUGAACUUAGGCAUAUCAAUAAGCGGAGGA
rnacentral:misc_RNA from 1 species